CAGGAAGAGGAGGAUUCCCCUGACACAAGGCUGCAGGGCUCACAAGCACUGACAAUUCACUCAUCAGUUUCAGGACCCAUGAAGACAGAGCCACAGAUUCCCCUGAACAGAAUGGCAAUUUUCGUGUGGUGUUAAUUUCCGUGGAAGAAGAAAAGGCUCGACUCUCUGUCCUAUUUUUCAUGAAUACUGGAAGUAGGGAAUAAACCUGGAGUCUCACGGGUGAAAAGAGACAUUUCCAUAUCACCAGACCACAAACGUGGGUGUUGAUUCUAAGGAUACCCCCAAUAAACAUCUUUCGUGCUAAAGCCCAUUCCAGAAUUUACUUCCCAGCUAUCUUUGAUGUUCAUAUUGUCAGAGGUGGUGGCCGCUGAAACAGGCAAAGACAUGGAGCAUAUCUUGGGUCCAGGUAAAGGAGGUGGGUGCACACAAGUGAAAAGAUGUUGCUGAAGUCACGUGGCUUCAAGCAGUAGAGCUGACUGUCCUCUAGUCCAGUUGUCCCUACAGGAUAAAAGCUUCUCUCCAUUACAGAGACCUUGGGAGUCCAGAGGAAGGUCUUUUUACCAUCAGCAUUCUCUACUGUGUUCAAUGACUGUCAGCCAAAGAUGGCCAGGUUCUCUACUGUGAUGGUGAAUUUUAUGUGUCAAUUUGACUGGACCAUGGGAUGCCCAGGUACUUGGUGAAACAUUUCUCUGAGGAUGUCUCUGGCUUUCCUUCAGAAAGAAAUGCAUUCAAAGAACCUACAUUCACAACAUAAAGAAAUAAAGCCUGCACCUACAGAUCUACACACAUGCCCAUGCACAUGCAGGAAGUGUUCAUCUAAGACUGGACCUUUUAGAAGAAAGCUGGCAUACAUUCGUGAAGGCAUGGGCUUCCAGGCAUGUCAUCUUCACUCACGAAGCACACACAAGACCGCCAAGCAUUAAGAUUCUCCUGUGGAGCCAGGCUACAAUCCUUUAAAUGAAGACAGACAGCUAGGUGGCUGCAGCCCAGCGCUACACCUCACCCCUCCCUCAGUGUCAUGCAGAAAAAAUGUAUUCAGAACUCAGAAGUGAAGUUGUGCAAAUCCAUCAUUGACACUAGCUUCAAGGUUACCUCGGGGGAGCAGAAUGUACCCCUGCCAGAGAGCUGGAUAGAUGAUGAUGGGGACAGAAAUUCUGGGGGAGUUGUAAAUGGCAGCCACUGCCUCUAUAGGAAACCCAAAGGGAACACAGCAGAAGAGGAGGUGGUGGAGGAGCCACUGCCCUCUCGAAGGGUUCAAUGUCAUUCUGCAGACACAACCAAAUAACUUUUUCUUCCCUGCUGCUCCUCCAUUUGAAAUGACAGCCCCGAGCUCGCUUUUUCCUUGAUUGUGUAACUCUGAUUACAGACAAGGCCAAGGCAAUCCCAGGGCAUUACUACAAAGCUAAGGGGUCCCCAAAGAACUAAAGAGUCAGCUCCACAAAAAUCCCGAUUCCUAGCAUGAAACUGAAAUAUGAAACCAAACGGGCAUAGAAAAGGUAUGUGCAUUCGAAUCACAUAGCAGUGACUGGAGUCCUGAGCUGUGUCUGAAGACUGUGAGAUCACGUUUGGAGCUGCUGAUUGGUUUUCAGUGAUGGCCCUGUUGCACAGUGCCGUGAGACUUAGCUCCAUGGCCAAAGACGAUGGUAUCCCCUAGGAGCCCUGUGAGGUUGCUGCUGUUCUCUUAAGACACCAGGUAGCCAUCUGAUCCUCCCUGAGCAAACUAACUGGGCAGACAGGUUUAUUAAACCUCUGUUGGUCCGACUUACAUGAAACAAGAGAGUUAUUUUGUUGUUGUUGUUUUGUUUUGUUUUAAAUUAAACCUGUCUUUGGAGCCUCCUGCUCUUAGUUUACAAGUCUUCUUUGCACACUCUAAUAUUUUAAGAAGCAGCAAACAUUAACUGAGGGUCUA
rnacentral:lncRNA from 10 species